AUUAUCAACUUUAGCUAAACUUACACAUGCAAGUAUCCGCACACCCGUGAGAAUGCCCCACAGUCCCCUGCCCGGGGACAAGGAGCUGGUAUCAGGCACAUUCUAUUUGAGCCCAUGACACCUUGCUUAGCCACACCCUCAAGGGAACUCAGCAGUGAUAAACAUUAAGCCAUAAGUGAAAACUUGACUUAGYCAAAGCUAAGAGGGCCGGUAAAACUCGUGCCAGCCACCGCGGUUAUACGAGAGGCCCAAGUUGACAAACCCCGGCGUAAAGAGUGGUUAAGAAAAAUUUAAAACUAAAGCCGAAUGCCCUCAAAGCUGUUAUACGCACCCGAAGGUAAGAAGCCCAAUCACGAAAGUGGCUUUACAUUUCCCGAACCCACGAAAGCUAUGAAACAAACUGGGAUUAGAUACCCCACUAUGCCUAGCCUUAAACAUCGAUGGCAACUUACACCUGCCAUCCGCCUGGGAACUACGAGCAUUAGCUUAAAACCCAAAGGACUUGGCGGUGCUUUAGAUCCACCUAGAGGAGCCUGUUCUAGAACCGAUAACCCCCGUUCAACCUCACCUUUCCUUGUUUCUCCCGCCUAUAUACCACCGUCGUCAGC
rnacentral:rRNA from 1 species